rnacentral:ribozyme from 14 species
UUUGGGAAAAGGACCAAGUACAACGAGAUAAACCCCAAAAGCAACAAUAAGGAAACCCAAAAUGUGAUUCAAACGUAACGGUUCUCUUAAUAUG